UACGGAAGGCAGCAGUGGGGAAUAUUGCACAAUGGGCGCAAGCCUGAUGCAGCCAUGCCGCGUGUAUGAAAAAGGCCUUCGGGUUGUAAAGUACUUUCAGUCGUGAGGAAGGUGUUAAGGUUAAUAACCUUAGCAAUUGACGUUAGCGACAGAAGAAGCACCGGCUAACUCCGUGCCAGCAGCCGCGGUAAUACGGAGGGUGCGAGCGUUAAUCGGAAUUACUGGGCGUAAAGGGCACGCAGGCGGUUAAUUAAGUUGGAUGUGAAAUCCCCGGGCUUAACCUGGGAAUGGCAUUCAAGACUGGUUAGCUAGAGUCUUGUAGAGGGGGUAGAAUUCCAUGUGUAGCGGUGAAUGCGUAGAGAUGUGGAGGAAUACCGGUGGCGAAGGCGGCCCCGUGGACAAAGACUGACGCUCAUGUGCGAAGCGUGGGGAGCGAAACAGGAUUAGAUACC
rnacentral:rRNA from 1 species